GAUGAACGCUGGCGGCGUGCUUAACACAUGCAAGUCGAACGAACCUUCGGGUUAGUGGCGGACGGGUGAGUAACGCGUGGGAAUCUGCCCUCAGGAGGGGGAUAACGGUUGGAAACGGCCGCUAAUACCCCAUAUGCCGAGAGGUGAAAUGAAUUUCGCCUGAGGAUGAGCCCGCGUCUGAUUAGCUAGUUGGUGAGGUAAGAGCUCACCAAGGCAUCGAUCAGUAGCUGGUCUGAGAGGAUGAUCAGCCACACUGGGACUGAGACACGGCCCAGACUCCUACGGGAGGCAGCAGUGGGGAAUUUUCCGCAAUGGGCGAAAGCCUGACGGAGCAACGCCGCGUGAGGGAUGAAGGCCUCUGGGCUGUAAACCUCUUUUAUCAAGGAAGAAGAUCUGACGGUACUUGAUGAAUAAGCCACGGCUAAUUCCGUGCCAGCAGCCGCGGUAAUACGGGAGUGGCAAGCGUUAUCCGGAAUUAUUGGGCGUAAAGCGUCCGCAGGCGGCCCAACAAGUCUGCUGUUAAAAAGUGGAGCUUAACUCCAUCAUGGCAGUGGAAACUGUUGGGCUCGAGUGUGGUAGGGGCAGAGGGAAUUCCCGGUGUAGCGGUGAAAUGCGUAGAUAUCGGGAAGAACACCAGUGGCGAAGGCGCUCUGCUGGGCCAUCACUGACGCUCAUGGACGAAAGCCAGGGGAGCGAAAGGGAUUAGAUACCCCUGUAGUCCUGGCCGUAAACGAUGAACACUAGGUGUCGGGGGGAAUCGACCCCUCCGGUGUCGUAGCCAACGCGUUAAGUGUUCCGCCUGGGGAGUACGCACGCAAGUGUGAAACUCAAAGGAAUUGACGGGGGCCCGCACAAGCGGUGGAAUUAUGUGGUUUAAUUCGAUGCAACGCGAAGAACCUUACCAGGGUUUGACAUCCUGCGAAUCUCUUGGAAACUUGAGAGUGCCUUCGGGAGCGCAGUGACAGGUGGUGCAUGGCUGUCGUCAGCU
rnacentral:rRNA from 1 species